rnacentral:lncRNA from 1 species
CCGCCGAGAGGGCGCCUUUCUCCCACUCCCAAAGGCUUCCGGUGUUUCCUGGGCUGGACCAGUUGGCCCUCAAGGCUCAGCUCAGGAAGCGGCACGAACCGGAAGCCGCAGGAGAAGGCCCCUCCGCGCAGCCCUCCCGGUCGCCCAAGUCUCCGCUUCAGGCGGGUCCCUCCGGAGGCAGGACGUUGCCCAAGGGCCCCGAGAGAGAGGAGAGGUGAGGAGGGGGCAGCAGGCCGGUCGUGGGUGGUGGUGGCCUGUGCCCACCCGUUUCCCAAUCUCUGUGUGUGUGUGUGGGGGGGGGGCUCACACAGACACACACAGAGUCGUGACCCAUGGAGGUGGUUUUGCUGCCUUGCAGGGCGGAGGGCCCCCCGUCGCCACAGUGGCUGAAGGAGCUGAGGUCCAGGAAGCGGCAGAGCCAGUACGAGGACCAGGUGUGACACACACACACACCCCACGGCCUGAAGGUGAGCGGGGCAAGGGGCAUAUAGCUAGGUGAAGUUAUUUUAUGUUCCCUCAGGAGCCAAACGUAAGGGACCUGAACUACCAACGAAACAACGUGCAUUUAGGAUGAGUGCUUACGCUCUGUUUGAAUGUGUACUUAACUUUCAUUUGCUUUUUGAAAUGGCCUUGUGUUGAUUUUGCAUGCUUUAUAAAUAUUUAAAAUGUUUCCCAGUAGCUAAAAUUGGCUGAAAAGAAAUAUUUUUAUGAGGGAAAUACAUGAACAGAGUACACAGAGUCAAAUGUAAAUGUUAAAAAAAUCCAAAGGUUUACAUGGAAGUUGUUUUCCUUGGAGACAUUUGCGCUCCUUAGAAUACAUUUUCUUCUUCUUUUCCCUUUGGUUUUAAGGAAGGCCAUUAAAGACACCCAAAAUGGUUUGCUCACUAAUUUUUAAAAUAUGCCUAAAGGCCUCUGUGCACAAGGGCACCUGCUUUAUCUGGGAAAAGUGAAUUACAACUUUUCGUUUUUGGGAUUGCCUUGAAUUUGAGCUCAUUCUGUUUCUAAAACUGAACCUUUUCCUCUUUUUUUCGCAGAAGGGUGGAUCAUGGCCGACUUCUUCCGGAGACUUCCCCACGAUUGAUUUAUAAACUCCUUGUUCUGUGGGGAGGUGUUGUCGUAACCGUGCUUUCGGUCCC